rnacentral:rRNA from 1 species
GUUGUUGCAGUUAAAAAGCUCGUAGUUGAAGUUCUGGCUGUUCGAUCCUCGAGCUCUGUAGCCGAGGACUCGACAGUCAUCCGCUUGCAAAUAUAGUUCGUCUUUAACCGGAUGGCUAUAUGAGUAAGCAAUUUACCUUGAGAAAAACAGAGUGUUCCAGGCAGGUUUGUCCGGAAUGCAUUAGCAUGGAAUAAUAGAAUAUGACUGAAGUCGAUUUAUUGGUUUGAGGCUUUAGUAAUGAUUAAUAGGAACAGUCGGGGGCAUUGGUACUUGACAGUCAGAGGUGAAAUUCUAGGAUUUGUCAAAGACUAACAAAUGCGAAAGCAUUUGCCAAGGAUGUUUUCAUUAAUCAAGAACGAAAGUUAGGGGAUCAAAGACGAACAGAUACCGUCCUAGUCUUAACUAUAAACUAUACCGACUCGGAUUCAGAUGAAUCAUAAAGUUCAUUUGGGACCGUAGGAGAAAUCAAAGUUUUUGGGUUCUGGGGGAAGUAUGGUCGCAAGGCUGA